CAAGAAUGCCACCUCUGCAAACCAGAGGGAGCUACCGCCAGAGAGCUCCAGGCUUCUCUUGCUUCUUUGCACAGCCAGCUGCUGAGCCAGACCAGAGAGGACACUGACUGGCAGAGCCCAAGUCCCCUUCCUGUGCCCUAGUUGCAGGGGAGGCAGGGAUCAACUUCCCGCAGUGGGAACAGUCCUGGCUUCCAUCACAACUCGUGAGGUUCCCUUCUGACAACAGCAAGGGCUUCUAAUGUGAAUGAGGCUCAGGGGAAUCUGCUAGCUAUCUCUGGCUUCCCUGGCACCAUGCAAAGACAUGCUCCUGUAGAAGAGAAUAUUGAAAGCCAUCCAGACCCCAGCUGUAGCAGCACUGGAAGCCAGAAUGGUUUUCUCAUGGAGAAUUCCUGAAGGACCUCCUAUUGAGCUCACCUGAGUGACAUGGAAGGAUGACAUGUGGGACAAUCGGAGUGAACCUGGGGUGGUGAGAACACUGCAGGCAUCCAGUGGAUUCCUUUAAAGCAGGUUGCUCAACUGUGGUCCUGUUGACGUUUCGGCUGGGUGAUUCUCCACUGUGGGGCCUAACCUGGAUGUUGUAGGAUGGUUGGGGGCAUCUCUGGCCCCCAACCACCACGUGCCAGGAACAUCCAGUGCUCAUCCCCAAUGUCUCCAGACACUGCCCAGGGUCCGAGUGCCAUCACUUUCAACUGAGAAUCACUGCUUAGAGGGAAGCAAUUUGUGGAUGAGAAGCAUGCAGGCUGUGACUCACAAUUUCAAACCAAUGAAGUUCAACCUCAGACUGUUGCAAAAAAAAGUACUCCGCACUCACCAACAGUCAACAUAAUUUCAUUCAGCCAAAUCUUGUGUAUUUGCUAGUAAACUGUGCACCGAGUGAAUUAUUUGCAGCAUUAUUUAAGACCCUGAAUUAACAUUAUCUAACAUGUUUGGAAGCAGGGCAGCCCUCAAAUCUCUGGUUAAUGUGAUUUCAGGAAAACAUAAAUAGGUUCAUAGUGUUUUACAGACCAGAGUGGGUCAAAAUUGAGGAAGAAAAUCUGCUACCAGAAAUCUAUGCAAUUAAGGAAGCUACCUGUGACUGACUGCAGAAAAGCUCUCACGACGUGGGACAGGGAACAUAUGAGCUGGAAGCAAACCUAGGGAAAACAGAUUCUGGAUUUCUCAUGUGUGUGGGGCUGAGCAGGAGGGAGACUUGGGCUUGUAGGGAGCCAGGAGCUCUGGAGAGGGGAUGGAGGCAGAAAGAGCAACCCUCGGAUGUGGAAUUUGGGUGGGCUGUGGCUGUGAGUGAGCAGGUGGAGCCUGGAACAGAGGUUCCUGUAACCAGUCUCCCUUGCAAGAGAGCUGGGUUUGUCGGGGGAAACCAAGGUCUAUUUCCCUUCAUCUACCUCUCCCACGCCAGGAAGCAGAGCAAAAUCACACAUGUAACCCUGCAACUAGACCCCCGGGCUGUGUCUUACCCAUUUUUCAUCCUCUGUACCUAGCACGGUGCCUGGCACAGAGGAGGCACUCAAGGGGCACUGGACUGAACCCAGUGGCUUCAGAACAGCUCCCAGGAGAAGCUGGAGUGACUCCAUUCAAAGGGCACUGGAAAGAUGCCUGGAGUCCUUUUCUACCCAGGCACAAGCCUUUUCUUUAUUGCCCAACUCUGAUGCCUGAGGUAAAGCAAUAGCAUGACUGAAUGUCUUUCACAUUAGAGUGUAAUUUAUCCACAUCAGCCGCAGCCUUUGAUCUCACCAAGCUGAGAGAGGAGAGAAGUGAUGAGGCGUACAAUGUGUACGAGGUGAGUGAGGUGUAUGUGGGCUGCAGCAGCUGAAGGGAGGGAAGGGCCAGGAGGCUGCGGGUGUAGAUAGAACGUUCCCGUUGGGACUUGGAGGCCCUUGGCCAGCACAUACAACCCAGGAGGAGAGAUCUGAGACUUGGUCUUGCCAUGGUGGGCCAUGUUUUAGUAUUGUCUGCGUUAUCUGCUGGGGAUAACAGAGCUUCCUACAGGCUCCUUGAGAAGUGCUUGUGAACCUCUCUAUAGUCGAGGCUUGUGGGCCGUCUUGUUAUGCCCUAAGCCUGGAUCCGCUUGCAGGUUGCUCUCAGAUGAACCUGAGUGAUGGCCUGUCUUUUGUGGGUCUGCUUUUCGGGACAUGAAGGCCAAGAAAUGAUUGUUCUGGACUGCAUUUGUUUUGUUCGAUGAACACAGACUUGGACCUUGUUUUUCUUGACUGUCACUGUCUCAAAGGUUUUAAUCAAAGGCUAUUUGGAAAUCAUGCCAGCUAAUUAAUGUUGAUGAGGCAACAAGGGUGACUCUUCCUUAGUGCCUUAAACCUUUCACCUGAAACACAAACAUGCCACAUUGGAGCUUUAAUUGUCAAGGAAGAUGAAAAGUAUACCAAACCAUUUGCUGGGCAAAGGCCUCCUGUUGAUAUAGGCAGCAGGAACCCACAGGCUUGUGCAAUGCAGGCUUGUAGCUGCAGAUCCAUUUCUCCCCAAGCACGCUGCCCCAUUGAAAGUGGGUAAGUGAUGCGUCUGAUCUCUAGCAAGCUCCACCGGGAGAGCACUGAAAUCUUAGCCAAGUAGCCCUGUCUCUCCGUUGUUUUCAUGGAAAGCCCUACUAAAAAUCAGACUGCACAGAGUUCCUCUCUUGAAUCAAAACUUGCAAGAGAAAGAUGAAAUAAGAUUCAAACGUGUGUUGUUUCCUACACUUGGGUACUUAUUUGUUUGUGGAUUUAUAAAGGGCCCCUCUUUCAUUUAGCCAGUGACAUUUAUUUAGAAGCUAACAUGUGCCAGAGACUGCAGAUAAAAAGAUGUGAAUCCUGCAAAAAAGGGGCAUGCAGUCCAGGAUUAGAAACAAAUAGCAGAUGAUCACAAAACAGCAUUACAAGUGCACUGUUAGUACCACUUUGUGAGGCACUUAACUCAAAGGGGUGAGGAUGAGAAGUAAGAAUUAAGGAAGAGGUUUGCUUGCGUUGAGAAAUAUUCCAAUAUAUAUGUCUUGAAAUAUGGGUCAUGGCUCAGAUCAAAACUAGCAGGUUGAUAUUAGUGUCAGCCAUAUUCAUUUGCUAAGAACCUGGAUGUGUUCGGGCGGCAGUAAGUCUACCUCUAAUCCAGUUCCUGCGCUCCGCUAACAAUGUUUUCUGUCUAAUCUUUAUAAUGCAUCUUUUUCCCUUAUCAUUUUGUGGAUGAUGAGAUUAUCCAAUGCUGAUGUUAACUAGUCUCAACAUAAGCCAUUUUCUGGUUUGGUACGUGAGUGUCUUGUUAACUAUCUGCGUUUAUGUAAUAUAAGUCAAUUGAUUUUGAGUCUUGUAGUUGGCCUAUGAGGUAAUUUAGAUAGAAGUUGAACUGAUUCAACCUGAGCUAUCAGCAAAAGAAAGGAUUUGGUAAGUAAAUUAAUAGCUAAAUAAAAUUACUGGAAUUUUAAAAGUUUAUAACUUUUAAACAGAAUCCAUUGUUUAAAGUCUUUUUAAACUUGACAAGUAUCCAUUUACUUUCAAAAGAAUUAAAUAAAAUUAAAGAGAUAUUUUCCUAAAGAGAUAUUAAUAUUAGACAUAAAUAUGGUCAUGCAUCACUUAAUGAUAGGGAUACACCUGAGAUAUGUGUCGUUAGGUGAUUUCAUCAUUGUGGGAACAUCAUUGAGUGAACUUACACAAACCUAGGAAGUAGAGUCUAUUACAUGCCUAGACUCAAUGGUAGAGCCUAUUGUUCCCAGGCUACAAAGCUGUACAGCAUGUUACUGUACUGAAUACUGUAGGCAAUUGUAACACAGUGGCAUUUGUGUAUCUCAACAUAGAAAAGGUAUUUUAAUCUUAUAGGGCCACCAUCCUAAAUGUGGUCUGUGGUUUACCAAAACAUUGUUAUGCUGUGUGUGACUGUAUUAAAUCUAGUUCUAUAGGAAUUUCUUGAAUGUAGUAAAGUUGAAUAUCUUAAAACAAUUCUGUAAUUAAGAUGAGUUGCCAAAUCAUAUAUAAUAGUGUAAAUUAAGGCCAUUUUAACUUUUUUGUUGAGAUGUUAAUGUCAACAAAACGGUUCAAAUGAAGGUCUUGAGUUGGUUGAUGUAACAGGACCAUUCUGAAACUUUCUAAGGACAUGAACCCUUUUGAAAAUCUGAUGAAAGAUGUGGGUAGACUUCUCAAAAAAUACAUGUAUUACAGACCUUGCCACACUGUUUUUAAUAGUUUCUGACUUCCCAGGAGCCUCUCAUGAUGUUAAAGCAAGUCCUCUUGACCUAAUGCAAUAAUGCAGUUCACGUCAGAUAGAGCAGUUUCUCAUCUCUCCGCUAUUUUCACGGAAAGCCUUACUAAAAAUCAAACUGCUCUUCAGUUUAAUUAGAUCCCAUUUGUCAAUUUCGGCUUUUGUUGCCAUUGCUUUGGUGUUUUAUUCAUGAAGUCUUUGCCCAUGCCUAUGUCCUGAAUGGUAUUGCCUAGGUUUUCUUCUAGGGUUUUUAUGGUUUUAGGUUAUAUAUUAAGCCUUUAAUCCAUCUUGAGUUAAUUUUUGUAUAAGAUGUAAAGAAGGAGUCCAGUUUCAGUUUUCUGCAUAUGGCUAGCCAGUUUUCCCAACACCAUUUAUUAAAUAGGUAAUCCUUUCCCUAUUGCUUGUUUUUGUCUAAUUAAACUAAAGAGCUUCUGCACAGCAAAAGAAACUAUCAUCAGAGUGAACAGGCAAUCACAGAAUGGGAGAAUUUUUUUGCAAUCUAUCCAUCUGACAAAGUGCUAAUAUCCAGAAUCUACAAGGAACUAAAACAAACUUACAAGAAAAAAAAAACAACCCCAUCAAAAAGUGGGCAAAUGACAUGAACAGACACUUCUCAAAAGUUGGCUGUUAUGCAGCCAACAAACAUAUGAAAAAAAGCUCAUCAUCACGGCUCAUUAGAGAAAUGCAAAUCAAAACCACAAUGAGAUACAAUCUCAUGCCAGUUAGAGUGGCAAUUAUUAAAAAGUCAGGAAACAACUAGUGCUGGAGAGGAUGUGGAGAAAUAGGAACACUUUUACCCUGUUGGUGGGAGUGUAAAUUAGUUCAACCAUUGUGGAAGACAGUAUGGCAAUUCCUCAAGGAUCUAGAACCAGAAAUACCAUUUGACUCAGCAAUCCCAUUACUGGGUAUAUACCCAAAGGACUAUAAAUCAUUCUACUGUAAAGAUACAUGUGCAUGUAUGUUUAUUGCAGCACUGUUCACAAUAGCAAAGACUUGGAACCAAUCCAAAUGCCCAUCAAUGAUAAACUGUAUAAAGAAAAUGUGGUACAUAUACACCAUGGAAUACUAUGCAGCCAUAAAAAAGAAUGAGUUCAUUUCCUUUGCAGGGACAUGGUUGAAGCUGGAAACCAUCAUUCUCAGCAAACUAACACAGGAACAGAAAACCAAACACUGCAUGUUCUCACUCAUAAGUGGGAGUUGAACAAUGAGAACAUGUGGACACAGGGAGGGGACCAUCACACAUUGGAGCUUUUGUGGGGUGGGAGGCUAGGGGAGGGGUAGCAUUAGGAGAUAUACCUAAUGUAAAUUAUGGGUUGAUGGGUGCAGCAAACCACCAUGGCACAUGUAUACCUAUGUAUAAAACCUGCAUGUUCUGCACAUGUAUCCCAGAAUUUAAAGUAUAAAAAGAAAAAAUCAGACUGCACAGGGUUCCUUUCCUGGAUUGAAACUUGCAAGAGAAAGAUGAAAUAAAAUUCAAAGGUGUGUUUUGUUUCCUACACUUUGAUUUUUGUUCGUGGAUUUAUAAAGGACCCCUCUUUCAUGUAGCCAACAUUUAUUUAGAAGCUAACAUUUAGAAGCUAUGAAAUUAAAAGAACUCUUCCACACACGGCUCAGGCAAGGAGCCAGUUUAUGAAAAAUCCAACAAACAAAGGCAUUUUGUAAACUUAAAAUAUAGAAAAAUAAAUCUAGCCAUCUCAAAAGAAGUUUUGAUACAUCAGCUCUUUUGUCAUAUGUACAUGGAGUAUACAUGGAAUCUACAUGUGGGAUGCAUAUGGGGUGUAUGUAUGGAAUAUACACAUAUACAUUUCCAGAGUAUAGUUUAUGUUUUUCCUGUACUCUCAUAAUCAAAAUGGCUUAAAAAUUAUAUACCUGAUCAAAUAUGCAAAUACCAGGC
rnacentral:lncRNA from 1 species